rnacentral:rRNA from 1 species
UACGAAGGGGGCUAGCGUUGCUCGGAAUUACUGGGCGUAAAGGGCGCGUAGGCGGCGCUGCAAGUCAGGCGUGAAAUCCCUCGGCUUAACCGGGGAACUGCAUCUGAUACUGGAUGGCUUGAGUUCGGGAGAGGGAUGCGGAAUUCCAGGUGUAGCGGUGAAAUGCGUAGAUAUCUGGAGGAACACCGGUGGCGAAGGCGGCAUCCUGGACCGACACUGACGCUGAGGAGCGAAAGCCAGGGGAGCAAACGGG